AGCUGUUGCUAGUAAUCAGGGAUUUUAUUGUGCUGAUUAAAAUGUGAACCUUUAUUUUCAGCGAAACGAAGAUUGAGUUGAGACGUUUUCAUGGCAUUCGCCAAUCGUUAGUCAACCAAUCAAGAAGAUGAACCUUAAAAUUGUUUCUGCGAUACUCCUAGCCUUAAUGGCUGUGGGUGUAAAUGAUGUCUCCGGUCAAGGAAUAAUCGUUGAUGCUGCUUUACGAAGAAUUUUGGAAACAUUCGACAACUGAUGCGCACAGGAAAUCCUGAAACGGGCAUGCCCGUUCUGGCCCCAUAUUUCAAUGAGGAUCUGUUCAUCAAUGUGUCGUUUGGAGGGCUCUUUGAGUUCGAUACUAGAUUCACUCCUAUUCGCAUCGAGGGAUUAGAUGAGUUCCAAGGGCGCUUGCAGGUUGAUCUGUUAUCGUUGCGUUUUCCAUUUGAAUUCCGUUAUGACGACGAAAUAACAAUCAGUGGAUUCUACGAUAUGAAUGGCCGAAUGUAUGGCUUGAUUCCACUGUUCGGUAUCGGUAAUUUCUUCAUCAGACCUAAGGGUGUACAUUUGACUGGCGCGGGCUACCAUUGGAGACAACGGCGAAGGAAUGUUAACUCUCACUGAUUUUACGAUUCAGCUUAUGAUCGACUCACUUGAGACAAAUAUUGAAGGCAUGCUUCUGGGUGGAGACUUAUCCGAUUGCUGAACGAAGUUAUUCAGGACAUUGUUCCUUCAAUCUUAGAAACUUCCCAGAAGGAAUGUCCAAUUUGCUUUCAGCAGCAAUUUUCCCCAUGGCCAACCGUUUCCUUGCUACAAGAACAAUGGAAGAUUUGUUGAAUCUCCUAUUCCCAAGAGCUGGUUAAAAUUUUCAAACAAUGUACAGUUGACCAUUAUGAUACAGGCACAAACGAACUGUUGAACGAUAAAUGAAUUUUCGCAAA
rnacentral:lncRNA from 1 species